CCGAUUGAUGGCUCGGUGAGGCCUUCGGACUGGCUCCAGGGGGUUGGCAACGACCCCCCAGAGCCGGAAAGUUGGUCAAACCCGGUCAUUUAGAGGAAGUAAAAGUCGUAACAAGGUUUCCGUAGGUGAACCUGCGGAAGGAUCAUUACCGAGUGCGGGUCUUUAUGGCCCAACCUCCCACCCGUGACUAUUGUACCUUGUUGCUUCGGCGGGCCCGCCAGCGUUGCUGGCCGCCGGGGGGCGACUCGCCCCCGGGCCCGUGCCCGCCGGAGACCCCAACAUGAACCCUGUUCUGAAAGCUUGCAGUCUGAGUGUGAUUCUUUGCAAUCAGUUAAAACUUUCAACAAUGGAUCUCUUGGUUCCGGCAUCGAUGAAGAACGCAGCGAAAUGCGAUAACUAAUGUGAAUUGCAGAAUUCAGUGAAUCAUCGAGUCUUUGAACGCACAUUGCGCCCCCUGGUAUUCCGGGGGGCAUGCCUGUCCGAGCGUCAUUGCUGCCCUCAAGCCCGGCUUGUGUGUUGGGCCCUCGUCCCCCGGCUCCCGGGGGACGGGCCCGAAAGGCAGCGGCGGCACCGCGUCCGGUCCUCGAGCGUAUGGGGCUUCGUCUUCCGCUCCGUAGGCCCGGCCGGCGCCCGCCGACGCAUUUGUUUGCAACUUGUUUUUUUCCAGGUUGACCUCGGAUCAGGUAGGGAUACCCGCUGAACUUAAGCAUAUCAAUAAGCGGAGGAAAAGAAACCAACCGGGAUUGCCUCAGUAACGGCGAGUGAAGCGGCAAGAGCUCAAAUUUGAAAGCUGGCUCCUUCGGGGUCCGCAUUGUAAUUUGCAGAGGAUGCUUCGGGUGCAGCCCCCGUCUAAGUGCCCUGGAACGGGCCGUCAUAGAGGGUGAGAAUCCCGUAUGGGGCGGGGUGUCUGCGUCC
rnacentral:rRNA from 1 species